rnacentral:rRNA from 1 species
AGUCGAGGGGCAGCACGAGGUAGCAAUACUUUGGUGGCGACCGGCGCACGGGUGAGUAACGCGUAUGUAACCUACCCUGUACAGGGGGAUAGCCCGGAGAAAUUCGGAUUAAUACCCCAUAAUGAUAUUUUAGGGCAUCCUAGAAUAUUUAAAGCUUCGGCGGUACGGGAUGGGCAUGCGUGACAUUAGCUAGUUGGUAAGGUAACGGCUUACCAAGGCUUCGAUGUCUAGGGGUCCUGAGAGGGUGAUCCCCCACACUGGUACUGAGACACGGACCAGACUCCUACGGGAGGCAGCAGUGAGGAAUAUUGGUCAAUGGGCGUAAGCCUGAACCAGCCAUCCCGCGUGAAGGAAGAAGGCGCUAUGCGUCGUAAACUUCUUUUCCAGAGGAAGAAAACCCCCGACGUGUCGGGGCUUGCCGGUACUCUGGGAAUAAGCAUCGGCUAACUCCGUGCCAGCAGCCGCGGUAAUACGGAGGAUGCAAGCGUUAUCCGGAUUUAUUGGGUUUAAAGGGUGCGUAGGCGGAUUAAUAAGUCAGUGGUGAAAACCUUCAGCUUAACUGGAGAACUGCCAUUGAUACUGUUAGUCUUGAGUACGGUCAAGGUAGGCGGAAUGUGUAAUGUAGCGGUGAAAUGCUUAGAUAUUACACAGAACACCGAUUGCGAAGGCAGCUUACUGGGCCAUUACUGACGCUGAGGCACGAAAGCGUGGGGAGCGAACAGGAUUAGAUACCCUGGUAGUCCACGCCGUAAACGAUGAUCACUCGCUGUUGGCGAUACACAGUCAGCGGCUAAGCAAAAGCAUUAAGUGAU